rnacentral:rRNA from 1 species
AUUGAACGCUGGCGGCAGGCCUAACACAUGCAAGUCGAGCGGAUGAAGGGAGCUUGCUCCUGGAUUCAGCGGCGGACGGGUGAGUAAUGCCUAGGAAUCUGCCUGGUAGUGGGGGAUAACGUCCGGAAACGGGCGCUAAUACCGCAUACGUCCUGAGGGAGAAAGUGGGGGAUCUUCGGACCUCACGCUAUCAGAUGAGCCUAGGUCGGAUUAGCUAGUUGGUGGGGUAAAGGCCUACCAAGGCGACGAUCCGUAACUGGGCUGCGAGGAUGAUCAGUCACACUGGAACUGAGACACGGUCCAGACUCCUACGGGAGGGAGCAGUGGGGAAUAUUGGACAAUGGGCGAAAGCCUGAUCCAGCCAUGCCGCGUGUGUGAAGAAGGUCUUCGGAUUUUAAAGCACUUUAAGUUGGGAGGAAGGGCAGUAAGUUAAUACCUUGCUGUUUUGACGUUACCAACAGAAUAAGCACCGGCUAACUUCGUG